rnacentral:rRNA from 1 species
UACAGAGGGGGCAAGCGUUGUUCGGAAUUACUGGGCGUAAAGGGCUCGUAGGCGGCCAACUAAGUCAGACGUGAAAUCCCCAGGCUUAACCUGGGAACUGCGUCUGAUACUGGAUGGCUUGAAUUCGGGAGAGGGAUGCAGAAUUCCAGGUGUAGCGGUGAAAUGCAUAGAUAUCUGGAGGAAUACCGGUGGCGAAGGCGGCAUCCUGGACCGACAUUGACGCUGAGGAGCGAAAGCUAGGGGAGCAAACGGGG